rnacentral:tRNA from 1 species
AGCCCUGUGGUGUAGUGGCCAAUCAUUGCGGGCUUUGAACCCGUGGACAGAGGUUCGAAUCCUCUCAGGGCUA